rnacentral:lncRNA from 1 species
CAAUGCAAUAUUUUAUGGAUCUAAAUGUUUUAUAACAAAUUCAUCCCUGUGACAUAUUUCCAUAUAGAUUUUAACUUUUAUGAGAUUUGAGAGCACAUCUUAUGUCACACACACUUUAUCAUUACAGUGGCAACGCAGCACCCUGAUCAUCAUAGAUAAUCUGUGAAUUCUUUCACCUGGUAGCAGCAUUUUUUUAAAUCCUCCUUUUAUAACAUGGUUGGACUGGGAAGAAGAAUGUAUCUCUCAUAAUUAUCUUCUACUUUUAUUGUAUGAAUAUGUAAAGCAGAAAACCUUACUAUUUCAGUAAAUUCAUACUUGCCACUAAAGUAGAAAGUAAACUUUAUCUACUUAAAAGAAAUCGGGAAAAUACAUAUUUUUAAUCCAAGGAAUGCUAAAGCUCGUACUUGUUCCAAUUGUUGGGUGUUUGGGGAAGGACAGGAAUUGUGUGUAUUGUAAUUAUGACUAUCGAAACUACAGACUUCCAUCAGAAUCUCUGUUCCCAAUCGUAGCCAGCAUUAUUCUCAUCCUAGAUUUGUUGCCAGUUGUGUAAGGGUCAUGUGGAGGUGAACAGAAUAUGAGGUAUCUGGCUCCAAUUCCAUUUGGAACAUUAAAGUGACUCCAGAUUGAUAAAAUAGAGAGAGAGAACAGCAUGCUUGACUACAAAGAUCCUAAGCCAGAGUGAGCCAAAUGGUACAUUCUCGACUAACGGUGACUAACAAUGAAAGAGAGAAGAGAUCUUAGGAGUGGAAUUGAAGCUUCAUUUUAUCAGGGCUUACUUUAGGAUGUAGGUAGAAUAAAUGAGAAUGUUUGUCAGAAAGAUAGUGAGGAGUAAAUGGGCGUAAAUAGCUGACACAAAGAUAAGAAAGCUGUCAACAUUUUCUGCAAGGGUAUGAAAAUUCACCUUUUCAGGGUCACAUGCUGGCUGCCAGUGAAACGAUGGUAAAAAAGAGUUAAGGAAGCUAAAAACAGAAACUCUAGGGAUGGCCUCAGAAUGUGGAAGAGAGGAAAUUCCACUGGAUGUCUAUUUGAAAGAUUGACAAGAGGAAGGAUAUGUAAUAAAGAAGUCAAAAAAGAUGAAAAUGGAUUAAAACUUGAAAGGAUUAUUACCGAUUCCCUGAUUUUGGUCUAACACCAUUGCUUAGGCGCCACACAAGUAUUUUACGUAAACUAUGAAUAAAAUGCAGUUGUCAUCUAUGUUUUACAAAUGAGAAAACUGGGAUUUAAAAAAAUUAACAACUUGCCUAAAGUCAUGUUAUUGCUUAGAAGGGCCAAGUCAGGACCCAAAUGCAGGUUUAUUUAGUUCCACAGCCCUUGCUAUAGUUAACCAUCAGGCUGAAAUUCCAUCAUUUCUCAAAGCACCUCCUUUCUCCUACUCUGAUCAAACAUGUAUUCUCUGGCCUGAACAUGUAAAAUUGUUUUCAAAUUGCUCAUGCAAGAAAAUUGCUGAAUAUAUUUGUUCAUAUUCCCCUACAUAACUGUGUAUCAUGCUUUAUUAUAUCAGACUGACUAGCUCUGCACAAUUGGUUUUGCUUACCCCUUAGCACAAUGCCAUAUGUAAAUAAAUACUAUUACUAUAGAUGAUUAUACUCAUUAGAAAACACUCAAAGGAACGAGACUGCAGAGAUUCCUGGAAUCAGAAAAUUUGUACAUGUAAACUAGAGACAUAUUUCACUUAUAAAUAGUGUGAAAUUUCUUUUUCCAAACUUUUCCAUUCCUCAGAUAUUAAAAUCAAAAGUGUUCCUUAUUUGUUUAUGUGCUAAUUCAAAUACGUAGCUAAAUAAUUAUAUUUUAGGAAAUCCAACAAGAUAUCCUGAGGUAAGCAUAUUUUUAUUUAUUUCAGUGAUGCAGUUCAUUCAAUCAUUUCCCCCUGCCCUUGUCAAUUGUUUCAGUUGCUCACAGGCAAUUCUAUUAGAAAUAAAAUAUUGUUAGAGGGGGUUCUCAAAACUGCUUUAUCUUCAUUAUAUUGAAAAUUCUAUUCCAAACGAAUCUUUGGGGAAAUCUUUUUUACUCACAUACUUUUCUUUCAUAGUUUGGUUUCAAACACAGAGAGUUAUUCCUGCCAAAGCCUCAUUUUUCUCCUUCUUUUUUGGCUAAAAGCAAUCUUCUGGAGCCUGUUCAUUCCCCUACCCCUCCACAGAUCUCACCAUGAUGACUCUCCUAAGGACACAUUAGAGGGCUUUGCCCUAAUCCAUAUUUUACUAAACAGCCCCAGGAGUGAGAAGAACCUUCACUAGGAUUUGAUUAAACAAAUUCUUAAAGCCAAUAAAACGUUUUCAAGUUGUAAGAGAAAGCAGCAUUAGUGCAUGUUCCCAAGCAGGGCAGACAUUUCACUGUUGUCAUCCUUAAGGAAGACAGUUUGGGAUGCAGUACAUUCUCCCUGAGACUCAUUCCAGAGGCUUCAGCCUCCAGCAACAGUUGCCUGUGAGGGUAGCUUUAUUGCAUAGCACAAUGCAGUUGUGACUGAAGCUGUUUCCAAACACUUUAGGGCAAUUUCAUGUGUAACUUUUCCUCUGCCACUUUACAGGGUUCCUGAAAGGGUAGAAGAAAAUACAGUAGGGCAGGGCUCAAGACCUUACAGUGGAAGAGUUAUGCUCUCCAUAAACAAUAUGACCUUCCAGGAGAGAAGAAAGAAUAGCGGAAGCCAUGUACUUGCUUGAGAAUAUAACAAAGAGACAUACUGGUUUGCAGGAAUUUUGAGUCAAAGAGUAAGUCCUUGAUUCGUUCUUGUGAAAAAUGCUCCAUGAGAAAUAGGAAACAUGGUCUGUAAACUGCUAUUAUAUUAUAAAGCUUACUUUUCUGACCUGGAAAAUUUUAUUUACACAAAAAAGUCAUUGUUGGAAAAAUUUUCUUUUCGAAAAAUAUUUUCACAAUUCAGAGAAGCUUCUAUAGUAAUUAAAAAGUGCGUACAUAUUUAUUUGAGAUAUUUUUAAUAACCCAUUAAACCUAGUGAAAAUAAAUGAAGGCGGAAGUCUAGAGACAUGAGAUCUGGUUGUGGUUUUGUUAGUCUUCAUCUCUGUGACUUAAGCAUAGUUACUUAAUUUUUCUGUUACUUUUAAAAUUAGAAAUAUAAACGGUUGUAAAAUUUUGUAAUGGUUUCAGAGGGAUGAGAACAUCUUAAAAAAUGAUAUUAAUACAAAAAAUACACAAAGGUACUAUGUAUAUAUUAUCUCAUUUAAUCAUAAAAACAAAAUAAGAUAGUGCAGAGAAGCAUUGAGGCAUAGUGCCUAGUGCAUGGAAAACGUUCAACAUCACUGGCAGGUAUUAUAAUUCUAUCAUCAAUAACAACAACACAGCCAGGAUGAAAUUAAUGUUCCCUUUUCAGUCAAGAAUAUAAUCUUCAAGAGGUUGGGUGGCAUUCCUGGGAUAAUUCUGAUGGCCCAGGCCAGAAUUAUGAUGUUUUCUGCUGGACGACCAGGCUGUGCUUUCACCCUUACGACCACAUUGCCCUCCGCAGUCCUUGAUAACUUAAGCAGAAUGUUUCGAGCAGAAAGUCAUCUUUUCUAUUUAAAUUGUAAUUCCCAACGUAUUGCUUGAAAACACCUCAAAAUGGUAUUUUACAUAUCUACUGCAUGACUUUUGACCUGCUUUUCCCCUAAAGUUUGGAUUAAACUUGAAGAAUAUCAGUAUACAGAACCACCCUUUCUGCCAGUUUUAACUGGAACCGAAGAGGUGUGAUAUACAGAGUAU